UCUUCUCCCCUCCCAUUACUUGAAAGAACAAAGGGAAAGGAAAGCUACCAGGUCCCUCUGAGGUGCUCUGGGUCUUAGUGGACAGCAGGCUGGCCUUCCCCCACCAGGUAGGACCAGAGUCUCUCAGGGCAGCUCCCAUAUGUGUGGGGCUAGGGUUCCAACUGGGUCCUGAAUGGCAACAAAGCCAGUGUUGCUCAGAUGCCCAGGCCAUGAUGCUCUCCCUCCUGUCAUGUGCCAAGGGGUUGAGGGUAUUUCAGCUUGCAGGCCUAUAGAAGAGAGCACUCAGUCUUGGAGCAGGAGGCUGCUGGGAGGCUGGUGCCCAGCUCGCAGCAGGUCCACUCCCAAAGGCUUGAUGUGGCCUAGGACCCAGGGGUGUGUUGUUAUGAGGCGGUCGGGCUGCUCUCACAGUAUCCUCCCUGCCUUCCUUUAGUUAUAAGAACCAAUAGGCACACCUGGCUUUCUGGGCUUCCAGGGACUAGCAGAUGUUUUGUGUGCUUGAAGGCAUUGCUUAGCCUGAGACCCUGCUUGCAAGACAGGGCUCCACUGUCCCGGAAGACUGGUCCCAGCAUCCUUGGGUUCUACUCUAGCAAGGCUGACUGGGUCACUCCAGGAGAGCCAGGGCCCCACUGUCCCGGAAGACUGGUCCCAGCAUCCUUGGGUUCUACCCUAGCAAGGCUGACUGGGUCACUCCAGGAGAGCCAGGGCUCUCCGAGAAGCUGCCUGCUCCAUUCCCCAUUUGUUCUGCAAAACUGAAACCGGAUUUCCUGAAGAGGAGCCCCUGGUCACCCUACCCUUCUCUGUUACAUACUGCAGGUCAUCAGCUCAAACUGGCUCCAGCCUCAGCCUCGGACGCUGCCAAGACCAGCACGGUGCUCCCAGGCAGUGCUGCCAGGGUGCGGAUGCCUGCUGACCCCAAACCACCUCUGGGAGUAGCUCUGGAGAGUUCAUGGGCCAGGGCAGCCGCCAGAGACUCUGUCGCACCCUGGGUGAAAGAAACUUAUCCAUCAACUCAAGGCCACAGCCAUGGACUCUGGAAGCCUCUGCCCCUCCAUGGCCAGAAACUCCUACCACCUCCUUUGCAGUAUAAUCUCAGCCACAAUCAAGAGCUGGGGCCUGUCUUAGAAGCUACACAGGGCAGAGACUUGAAUAAAAGCAGCCAAGAUGCUGGGGCGAUGGGAGUGGUGAGCUUCCGGGAGGAGGCAUGGCUAGUUAUCUCACUUACACAGUCUGGCGACCCAAGCCUCUGAAUCCCAGUAAAGCCUGGGCCUGAGGUACUCCCACAACACCCACACUGCUAUCCUGUCCAGGAGGUGUGGGGCUGGGCCGUGCCUCCAGGACCUUCUUCCUGUAGGAAAUACAGAAGCAUUGAAGGGGCAUAGCAGCUGUUUGGACUUGCUGCUGGGGCCCUCACAGUUCCUGGAAGCUUGUUUUACUACACAGACACCUUGACAGGAGUGACAGCCGUGAGCCAGCCUCACAAACCUCAUCUGUCCCCAAGAGGGGCUGAGUUAAGAUGGGGCGAGCCUGUGACUAGACCCAGGCUGACCGAUGGCAUCUACACAGUGCGAUGGGAGGACUCAGAAGGUCCUCCCUUGGCUGACCCGCGAUACCCUUCUUUCUUCACGCCUAUACAUCAACUCUUCUUCUCCCUCUGUACCCAACAAGGUAACCAGAACGCCGCCACCAUCCUUACCGUCCAAUGACAGCCAGUCGUGCUGGGAGGAAGGGAGUGUGGGCAGAGCCCGAGCUUUGUACUCAAACACCACCGAGUUGGAGAUGAUCUGAUUGUUGAAGGCAACUUGUAGGGUCACAAGACCCGUGUCAUGGGCUGAAAGUCAGAAAGAGAGAGGUCAGGUUGAGCGCCCCUCCUCAUCAACCCUCUUUCAGUUAACAACCAAUUUCAGGGUUAAUAACCGGUUAUUAUGCCUGCCUAUCCCAUAAGGCCCAAGGUUGACAUUUGGGAAAACCCUUGGCUCCAGAUUCAGCCAGUGUCUGGCUAGGAUCCCCAGAGGAACUUCUGCUUGUCUGUUUGUUUGUUUUGCUUUGUUUUUGACACAAGUUCUCACUGUAUGGUCCUAGUUUGCCUGGAAUUAUGUAGAUCAUGCUGGUCUCAAAUUCCCAGAGACCUGCUUGCCUCAACCCCCGAGUCCCGGGAUUAAAGGUAUGUGCCACCACA